CAAGGCAGGGGAAGGACCCUGGGACAAAGGCCUGUCUGGGACAGAGCGACAACAACAUCGACAGGACCCUGUGGAAAUGACUGCUCUCUCUCUACAAAUUAUGUAAUAUCUGAAUACAACAGAACGUGCGAAUCAUGAAUGGAGGAAACACCGGUGAGCCUCAAACAGCAGUUGUGUUGGGUAUUCAUGUCACAGCUACGAGCCAAUAAGAUUGAAGAGGGUUUAUCUGUUGAGGGUAAAUCCCUCGUCAGUUUACACCUCACAGUGGCAGACUAAGCCUUCAGAAGGGACAGACAGGGCUUAGCCAGGAGAUCGAAGGAGAGAGCGGAGAUUGAAGCAGUGCUCGUCACAACAGUGUGGUAGUCUCGGCAAGACAACGUGACGACGGACUACAAAUUCUCUGUAAGCUGGCAUGAGAACUCUGUGACAAGCAGUCUAUAUUCAUGACUGGGCCAGUGUCAACAAAGUACAGCCUUUCAACUUCAUUCAGUCAACCACUUCUGUAGGACAUUUUUUAACACUGGAGAAUGAUUUUGUCACCACUGAAUUGCUGGCUGUGUGUUCCCAUGUGGCUGAGUGAUAUGUCAGUACAAUGACCACAUCGAAUCGGUAGGACGAGGGGCACGGUGUCGUCUCAUGCUUCAUGAUGACAAAUACAUCAUCAGCAGUAUAGUUCUACAUGUGCGAGGUCUCGUUGGUACAGUUACUGAGGCAACUAUCCUCCACCAGGUUCAUCAGCAGCAUCUAAAGACUCAGAUCAACCCCAAACCAUACUCAAUCCUGCAAGAAGAGUGCCGCCAGACAAACCUGGGAAACACCCAAGCUUCCAUGCUGCACCAUCAGUAACAGCCAUGCCUCCACUACGCACCAUCACCACUGUCGCAGAUGUUGCUGUCCCCAACGAAGAACGUGUUUGCAGGCACUGGGUGACAUGUUUUUCUGACUCCCAGGCGUAAGAUGAAAUGUUUGCAAUGAUGGGUUUGUGUGCAGAGGAGCCAAGUCUCGCCUGCUGAAAGUGCGAUCGUCCACAACACAAGCACAGAAAGACAUUCUGCAAAUUAGUGCUGUUAAUCCGCAAUGAUCCUCUAUUGCCGGGACACCUGUGCACAUAUUGAUGUAAGCUUCUCAGGUGUUGGACUCACAGAUACUACGCGAAAAAACAAUUCUGAUUCUAGCUUUUGGGACGGAGCCAGAGACAGAUUAUUCAGUGUGAUCUGACACUAAUGUUCAAAGGAAUUAUCAGAUUUGUGGAUAAACGGGCAAAAUGCAUAUACAGUUAUCCAAGAAUUAGUUAAAAGUGAUCAACAAGUGACACUGAUCACAUUAAUAAAAGAUCCAAUUUGUUGCUCUGAUUAAAUGGCCUGCCCCACCUGGACUUAAUGGAGUGUGGACAUGGAUAAAGGUAUAUGGUAAUAAAACAAUCCAGUCCAGUGGAGAAGGCACACAUUCUUAAUUACAGGUGUGUGUUUCACCUGGAACAAUAAUUACAGGGGUAUGUUCCACCAGCAGGAUGUGUACAUGCCACUAACCAAUGUUGAUUUAACUGUGAUGAAUACAGAACCAUCCAGCUAGAGGUAUGAAUGGAAAUACAUCAACUACCUAUUGUUGUCUGACAGGCCCAAUUACAGGUUCUGGUCAACUGCCCCUUUGAGUGGACACACUGAACGAGGUGCUGUGUGGCAUGUAUCUGCUGCAGCGAGCAGAUCACAAUAGGUGGCAUUACCAGGGGUCAGUGGUUUCUAAUGCAAGCUUGUCUCCUGCAGGUGUGCUGGAAGUCAACAGAAGCUGGACAUACCAUACAAUGACAUGGGCAAUUGUGGGAAAUAAUCUGUAUAACACACCCUAUUACCAUCCAAGUGGACAAUAAAGUGGACAGUCUGGUGUUGGCAGUCAGUCGGUCCUGUGAGCUCCCUGGUUGAUAUUGUGUGUAAUGGCCCUGCCAAGAAGGGAAUACACUGGGUUAUAUACCGGCAGGAUCAUAUAGUGUUGAAGACUGCACGUUGCAAUCACAGGUUAUAAGUGUGCACAGUUUCAUUGUUUAUGUGGUUACUUGGAUGCUCUAUGGAUGUCUUCUACAUAUUCAAGACACAAAGCUUUAAAUGGUCAUCAUUCUCUGUGUGUAAAUCAGUCAAAAUGAUCAGUAUUACAGAUCCCAAGAAAUCCACACAAUCCA